AUUGAACGCUGGCGGCAUGCUUUACACAUGCAAGUCGAACGGCAGCGCGGGCUUCGGCCUGGCGGCGAGUGGCGAACGGGUGAGUAAUGCAUCGGAACGUGCCCAGUAGUGGGGGAUAGCCCGGCGAAAGCCGGAUUAAUACCGCAUACGACCUGGGGGUGAAAGCGGGGGACCGAAAGGCCUCGCGCUAUUGGAGCGGCCGAUGUCGGAUUAGCUAGUUGGUGGGGGAAAGGCUUACCAAGGCGACGAUCCGUAGCUGGUCUGAGAGGACGACCAGCCACACUGGGACUGAGACACGGCCCAGACUCCUACGGGAGGCAGCAGUGGGGAAUUUUGGACAAUGGGGGCAACCCUGAUCCAGCCAUGCCGCGUGCGGGAAGAAGGCCUUCGGGUUGUAAACCGCUUUUGUUCGGGAAGAAAUCCUCUGGGCUAAUACCCCGGGGGGAUGACGGUACCGGAAGAAUAAGCACCGGCUAACUACGUG
rnacentral:rRNA from 1 species